rnacentral:rRNA from 1 species
GACGAACGCUGGCGGCGUGCUUAACACAUGCAAGUCGUACGGUAAGGCCCUUUCGGGGGUACACGAGUGGCGGACGGGUGGGUAACACGUAAGUAACCUGCCCACAACUUUGGGAUAACGCUCGGAAACUGGUGCUAAUACUGGAUAUGUACUCCUGCUGCCUGGUGGGGGUUGGAAAGCUCCGGCGGUUGUGGGUGGACUCGCGGGCUGUCUGCUUGUUUGUUGGGUGGUGGGCUACCAACGCGGCCACGGGUAGGCGGCCCGCGAGGGUGAACGGCCACAUUGGGACCGAGAGACGGGCCAGACCUCCACGGGAGGGAGGAGGGGGGAAGAUUGGACAAAGGGGGCGAGCCCGAUGCAGCAACGCCGCGUGCGGGAAGACGGGCUUCGGGGUGGAAAACGGCUUCAGCAUGGACCAAGCCGUUUGUGACGGUACCUGCAGAAGAAGCACCGGCUAACUACGUG